rnacentral:rRNA from 1 species
GACGAACGCUGGCGGCGCGCUUAACACAUGCAAGUCGAACGGAAAGGCCUGCUUUCCCUUGUGGAUUGCGGGUACUCGAGUGGCGAACGGGUGAGUAACACGUGAGUGAUCUGCCCCCAACUUGGGUAUAAGCCCGGGAAACUGGGUCUAAUUCCCGAUAGGACUGCAGGGUGGUGCCUGUGGUGGAAAACGAUUUUCUAGUGGUUGGGGAUGAGCUCGCGGCCUAUCAGCUUGUUGGUGGGGUAAUGGCCUACCAAGGCGGCGACGGGUAGCCGGCCUGAGAGGGUGGACGGCCACAUUGGGACUGGGAUACGGCCCAGACUCCUACGGGAGGCAGCAGUGGGGAAUAUUGCACAAUGGGCGGAAGCCUGAUGCAGCGACGCCGCGUGGGGGAUGACGGCCUUCGGGUUGUAAACUCCUUUCGACCGCGAGGAAGCCACCUGGUUGGAAGGGUGGUGACGGUAGUGGUAGAAGAAGCACCGGCUAACUACGUG